AACGAACGCUGGCGGCAUGCCUAACACAUGCAAGUCGAACGAGACCUUCGGGUCUAGUGGCGCACGGGUGCGUAACGCGUGGGAACCUGCCCUUAGGUUCGGAAUAACUCCCCGAAAGGGGUGCUAAUACCGGAUAAUGUCUUCGGACCAAAGAUUUAUCGCCUUUGGAUGGGCCCGCGUUGGAUUAGCUAGUUGGUAGGGUAAAAGCCUACCACGGCGACGAUCCAUAGCUGGUCUGAGAGGAUGAUCAGCCACACUGGGACUGAGACACGGCCCAGACUCCUACGGGAGGCAGCAGUGGGGAAUAUUGGACAAUGGGCGAAAGUCUGAACCAGCAAUGACGGGUGAGUGAUGAAGGCCUUAGGGUUGUAAAGCUCUUUUACCCGGGAUGAUAAUGACAGUACCGGGAGAAUAAGCUCCGGCUAACUCCGUG
rnacentral:rRNA from 1 species